GGAAGAACUAAUUAAUGUGCAGCAGAAUGAAAUUCUCCUUACUCACAAAACGUCUGUGAGCUAAGGCUGUGAAUCCUGCUGUAUGAAAAAGUGACAUCAAGAUGGCAGGAAAGCUGACAUCAUGUGCUGAAAGAGGAGUGACAGCAAGGCUGACAGAGAAGCUUAACUGGGCAGUCAAGUGUGAAGAAAGUGCAGCUGGACAGGUGUCUGUAGAUGACAAGAUGAGAGUGCCAAGAACUAGUAACUGUCAGAAGAGCUUUGUAACAUGAUGGAACCAAAGAAAUCUCUCUUCUACCAGACAGUAAGAACCUAGGUUGCUGGCACAACAUGUCAACUGCAUAAAAC
ensembl:lncRNA